CCUGGAGUUAGGCCUUCAACCAAAGAACCGGGCCAUCCGUGGCAAUGCAUCCCAGGCUUGGGAGCUGGGAAAAGGCCCCGGGAGCUAGGGCAUCCUGAUUGUUCUUUCAAAGAAAUCCCUCUUGUUCUUAGUCAACACGCUGGAUACCAGCUAAAAAAUGCAAAAUGAUCUUCAGGCAGAGAUGGCACAAGGACCCCUGCUGAGCUGUGAAGCCGGGCUGUGAGGAUCCCUGCACGGAAGCAUCAACAUGUUGCCAGAUUGGUAUACAACUCGGCACCACACUGACAUGCUGCUCCCAAACAGUGCCUUUGAAUCAAGACCCAGUCAUCAUAUUUGAAGAGAAAAGAAAUAUCCAUGACCCACGUUGGGACUUCACAGAGAUCUUCAGUAAAAUCUACAAUGCUACAAUGCUUUGGUGGGAGUGAGCCCUUCCAGAUGAAGAAGAAGUUCUUCAGGUUUGGCCAGGGACAAGGCCGAGGCCAUGGCAGAUGACAGCUGGCACGUGAGUUCUGUGUAUCAGGAUCUG
rnacentral:lncRNA from 1 species